GGGGUAAUCCCGAGGGAUCUUAAACUUGACCCAAUAUGCUGAAUUUUAGAAAGAAAAUCGCCAUACUUGACAUAAGUAAAUGGAGAUAGACGGGGCUUGUUGUUGUUGUUCUUUCUUUUUUGUUUUGUUUUAUUUGGGAGUUUUUCGUUUUGAGU
rnacentral:ribozyme from 13 species